UCGUUUAUCAACUGAGCAAACAUUUAUUUGUAAGGGCUCAAUUAAAUUCAACACAUACGUAACAUAUCCCCAUAUUGGGAUGUUUUUCGAGUAUUCGCUGGAAUUUUACAGCAAGCUCAUUCAUUACCAAAUCACGUACCUUCGGGAUUUAACCGGAUAUAGCUCCUCGUUCAAAUGCCUUCGGGACAUAGCCCGGUUUUAGUAACUCACACAAUGCCUUCGGGACAUAACCCGGAUUUAAUAACUCGCACGAAUGCCUUCGGGACUUAACCCGGAUUUAGUAUCUCGCACAAAGGCCUUCGGGGCUUAACCCGAAAUUUGUAUCUCGCACAAAUGCCUUCGGAUCUUAGUCCGGAUAUAUUCACUUAGCACAAAGCCUUCGGGACUUAGCCCGGACAGCAUUCAAUUAAUCAUGCACAUCUAACAAUAAUUCAUGGCACAUUCAUAUUUCAUUUUCAUUUGCGAAACUCAAACACAAGGCACAUAUCGUCCUUGCACAUUCGGCUCAAUAGCCACACAUAGAGCAUGAUUUAAUCACAUUGUAAUUUAAG
rnacentral:lncRNA from 1 species